UACGGAGGGUGCAAGCGUUAUCCGGAAUCAUUGGGUUUAAAGGGUCCGCAGGCGGACGUAUAAGUCAGUGGUGAAAGCCUACAGCUUAACUGUAGAACUGCCAUUGAUACUGUACGUCUUGAAUUCGGUCGAAGUGGGCGGAAUGUGUCAUGUAGCGGUGAAAUGCAUAGAUAUGACACAGAACACCGAUAGCGAAGGCAGCUCACUAGGCCUGAAUUGACGCUCAGGGACGAAAGCGUGGGGAGCGAACAGG
rnacentral:rRNA from 1 species